rnacentral:rRNA from 1 species
UACGUAGGGACCGAGCGUUGUCCGGAAUCAUUGGGCGUAAAGAGCGUGUAGGCGGCUAUUUAAGUCCUGCGUGAAAUCCUGCGGCUCAACCGCAGACGGUCGUGGGAAACUGGAUGGCUAGAGUGCGGGAGAGGAGAGUGGAAUUCCCGGUGUAGCGGUGAAAUGCGCAGAUACCUGGAGGAACACCGGUGGCGAAGGCGGCGUUCUGGACUGCAACUGACACUGAAAAACGAAAGCCAGGGGAGCAAACGGG